AGGACUUAAUAAGAGUUAGUAAGUUAUGGGAGGACUAAUUUAUAAAUAUUGCUAAUUAUUUGAUUUGAUCAAAUAUAGACUGAAUUAAAUCAAAUUGGAGCUGAUUAGAUUUUGUUUAAUUUAGGUUUUCUAGUUCAAAUAAGAUUUGGAUCUAAUUCCUAAUUGAGUUUGACUCAAUUUAGAUUCAAAUCAAAUUCAAAUC
rnacentral:lncRNA from 1 species